UUCUCUGAUUCCAAGUUCCUGUUUCAUAGAUGGAGGAACUGAGGUUCCGAGAGAGGGAGCAGGUCCCCAAGGUCACAGGCAAGAUCAGUGACCUUCUGACCCCAAAACAGAAGCUGACAAACCAGAGCUGGUACAGAUGGGGAAACUGAGGACCAGAGGGGCCACCCGCACGCCGUGGGCUGCUCAGCGGGAGAGUGGCCGAAUGAACUUCCCUUCUGGGCCACCUGGCUUCCAGAACAGGGCUGGCCCUGCGUCACAGACGAUGACCAGCAGAAAGCAGCUGAGCUGUGUGGACUACGAGCUGGUCUCUCCACUUCUCAGAGCCUCAGUUUCCUCAUCUGAAGAAAGGGAUCAUUAAAAAAAACUACAUCACGGGA